GACCUCGGAUCAGGUAGGAAUACCCGCUGAACUUAAGCAUAUCAAUAAGCGGAGGAAAAGAAACCAACAGGGAUUGCCCUAGUAACGGCGAGUGAAGCGGCAACAGCUCAAAUUUGAAAUCUGGCUCUCGGGCCCGAGUUGUAAUUUGUAGAGGAUGAUUUUGGCGCGGUGCCUUCCGAGUUCCCUGGAACGGGACGCCUUAGAGGGUGAGAGCCCCGUACGGUUGGACACCAAGCCUCUGUAAAUCUCCUUCGACGAGUCGAGUAGUUUGGGAAUGCUGCUCUAAAUGGGAGGUAAAUUUCUUCUAAAGCUAAAUACCGGCCAGAGACCGAUAGCGCACAAGUAGAGUGAUCGAAAGAUGAAAAGCACUUUGAAAAGAGGGUUAAAUAGCACGUGAAAUUGUUGAAAGGGAAGCAUUUACUACCAGACCUUUGCCUUGCGGAUCAUGUGGUGUUCUCACCUCUGCACUUCGCUUGGUUUAGGCCAGCAUCGGUUUUUGUUGGGGGAUAAAAGCUUUAGGAACGUAGCUCCCUCGGGAGUGUUAUAGCCUUUUGCAUAAUACCCUGACGGGGACCGAGGACCGCGCUUCGGCAAGGAUGCUGGCAUAAUGGUAGUCAAUGACCCGUCUUGUAACACGGACCAAGGAGUCGAACAUUUGUGCGAGUGUUUGGGUGUUAAACCCUCACGCGUAAUGAAAGUGAACGUAGGUGAGAGCUCUUGCGGGCGCAUCAUCGACCGAUCUUGAUGUCUUCGGAUGGAUUUGAGUAAGAGCAUAACUGUUCGGACCCGAAAGAUGGUGAACUAUGCGUGGAUAGGGUGAAGCCAGAGGAAACUCUGGUGGAGGCUCGCAGCGGUUCUGACGUGCAAAUCGAUCGUCAAAUCUGCGCAUGGGGGCGAAAGACUUAUCGAACCAUCUAGUAGCUGGUUACCGCCGAAGUUUCCCUCAGGAUAGCAGUGUUGAUCUUCAGUUUUAUGAGGUAAAGCGAAUGAUUAGGGAAUCGGGGGCUAAUUUUUGCCUUCAUCCAUUCUCAAACUUUAAAUAUGUAAGAAGCCCUUGUUACUUAAUUGAACGUGGGCAUUCGAAUGUACCAACACUAGUGGGCCAUUUUUGGUAAGCAGAACUGGCGAUGCGGGAUGAACCGAAAGUCGAGUUACGGUGCCGAAUUGCGCGCUAACCUAGAUCCCACAAAGGGUGUUGGUUGAUUAAGACAGCAGGACGGUGG
rnacentral:rRNA from 1 species